UACGGAGGAUGCGAGCGUUAUCCGGAUUUACUGGGUGUAAAGGGAGCGUAGACGGCGGUGCAAGCCAGAUGUGAAAGCCCGGGGCUCAACCCCGGGACUGCAUUUGGAACUGUGCUGCUAGAGUGCAGGAGAGGUAAGUGGAAUUCCUAGUGUAGCGGUGAAAUGCAUAGAUAUUAGGAGGAACACCAGUGGCGAAGGCGGCUUACUGGACCGUAACUGACGUUGAGGCUCGAAAGCGUGGGGAGCAAACAGG
rnacentral:rRNA from 1 species